UCCGUUUCAACAAAAGCUCAGCUGUCUACAGAUUGGAGAAAGAUUUUGCUCUAUUGUUAUCAUGUCAAAAAAAUAAAAAUAUAAAAAAUCUCCAAAAACACAAAUAGGUCCAGCUUUGGAUUAACAGAAAUGUGAAUAAAUUAAACAUGAUAAACUGUUAAAUCACGCUAAAAAAUACGCGUUACAGUUGACGGAAACGUCCUGGUGAUUUUCUAUCAGGAUUUCUUCUGUUUGUUUCCUGACAUUUUUCUUACAGAGUAGCAUAACGGAGCACUGUGACUUCCACUCCCACGAACCAGUCCACAGACACACACUGUUCAAACUGAGAGCACAUCAAAGGCAACACGCUUACUUGAAAGACCAGGCAGACCUGCGAAGCAUUACUGUGUACAUGGCAAGGAGUCAUUACGUUGCCUAUUCUGUCUGUGCAACAAACAACACUGAUCCCUUACUUUUAAACUGACUGGAUGCUGAUCCUGUGUUUGACUCUUGUUUGGCUCGAGGGAGACGGUCAUCUUCAUCAUCCGAACUUCAACGGUGCGGCGUGGUUCUUUUCAGAUUCCAGACAAGUUUCAUUACGAUAACGCUUUGAUGUCUGUGAGAAAGAAAUAUAAAUGAAUAAUCUGCAACGCAGUGGCCUUUGAUCACUCAGAUGCGUAGUGUUCGAAUUAAACUGUCUGCAAGUACCGUAUGCCUUGUUACUGUGAGACAUGAGUCAUCCCCAAUUUUGCUCUCUUUCCAUGUCUCAAUUGUGCCACUUAAUGAAAAGACAAAACACA